AACAAUCUAUUGCCAAAAGCACCGCAUUCAACAUCAAUUUGGCCUUUGCCGUCAACGGAUCCAAAAAUGCCUUACAACUCCAAGUUGUUGUGGGAAAAACCUCGUCGUUGGAAUCCUGCACCACUGCACCCGUUAAAUAGUUUUUCUUUUUUUAAUAUUUUUUUGAGUGUGUGGCAAAUAUAUCUUUUUAUGUAUUUUUUUCUUUUCCUAGAGGUGCCAACCUAAUUAAAUAUCUAAGUUUCUCUUUGAUGUUCACACUAUUAGAUUUUGCCAAAAAAUAAAUCAAAUUUACAACCAAAAUUAUGGUUAAUUCAACUAAAUGAUUCAACCAAAAUUUUCAACAUGAAUUGAAUUAACCAUUAAUUCAACUCAAU
rnacentral:lncRNA from 1 species